CGUUUUACCCUGAGUCCUGGUGGGUUUGUGAAUGUAUCAGGCCAGCACUGCUGCUGUUAUUCCUUUGAAUGGCUGAGUUUAUUCAGUCCUCCAUGGGAUUAUCAAGCAAGGAAGAAGGUAACAAAGAGAUCAUUGCCUGCAGAUGUUGAGGACUUGUUGGAAAAGGCUUGGGGAAGGAGCACGGUUUCCUCCCAAGCCACUGCCAAGGGAGCUGAGCUGGUUCAAGGGAGAUUCAAGAGAUGUCGGCAUAUCCAGGGAAAGAUUGUAGUCCUUGGCUUAUCUCCAGGAGCAAGGUGAAGGCUGAAAUCACUGCAUCCAGUGCCUUCUGUGAGCUGGAGAAUCUGAAGCAUGUAAGCAUUCAGGUACUCAUGCACUGGAGUUUUUUGCCUACAGCUUUCUGCCCUUUCCUUCCCUUCCCUCUGUGUUGGUGCAUGGGGCAGGGUCAGUGCCUGCUUCGUUGGCAGCAGAGCAGCGAUGGACAAAUCUCCCUGCUCCUGCCGAGAAAAUCAAGUGGACGGGAAUGGGAAGGGGGAUGAAAAUAGAUGCAACACAGAUUGUCAUUUUGCAAAAUGACUUUUUCCAAGAGCACCACUCUGAAUACAUAGUGACACUGUACAGAUGAUUCUUGGCCUGUUAAAUAACAGAUUCCCUUAUAUUUAUUGCUUUUGAGCUCUGCCUGACAGUUUUAUUGCAUGCAGACUGGCACAUUAUGAAAAGUAAAUAGGUCUGUGGAAUCAUGGCCGCAGUAUUCCUGUUUAAGGGGAAAACAACUCUCUGGGUUUACCACAUGUUUGAAAAGAGAAGACAGUUCUCCCUCAGUGUUUUAUGGCAGUUCCCCCUCCCACCACCCCCUUCUACCUUAAACAGUCUGCAUUUGUUUUGCUUGUAUAAUUAGGCAAUAGCAGCUGAUCAGAUUUGAAUCAACGGCAUUAUAUCAUCCCAAAGCUGCCUCAAUUGAUGGACAAGAGAGGCAACAGUCUGUUGAUUUGCAAAAGCUAUAAAAUGGCCUGCCUGUGCCAUGCACAUAGAAAAGUACAUUAGCUUUAGCUUUUUUAUUGUUUUUUGAGAGUAGAUGUACUGCUAAGGCACUUGAACUCUAUUAUUAUGUCAAGCUUCUGCUAUUUUCUGUUAUCCUUGGGAUGAAAGCAAAAGAAAUCCUGUAUAUGGGCUCAUAAAAGAGAAUCUAUUCUUUGAGAAAUAAUUGUGCCCAUAGCCCUUAGUGUGCCAUUGAACCUAUACAAAUUAAAAGAACCAUUAUCAAAGUUAGUACAGUAUUUAUUUAGGCUAAACCACCUCUUUGCUAAGUAAUUGCAACGAUGGUGCACAGCAGCGCUGCUGGAAAUGUGUUUUACUGACUUUUUUCCUUCCUCACAAAUUCAGCCAGAAAAGAUACAGCUAUCUUCUAUCAGCCAAGAUUUGGAUUUAAUGACUUGCCCUCUUUCCUCCCAGCCUUUUCUGGCUGGCCAGUUUAGAGCAGAAAUAACACUAUUUUUUCCAAGUAUACCUCCCUAGUUUUGCCCUCAAUUGCUCACUAUUAUCUCCAGCUGUGAGCAUCUUCUGGACAGCAUUCCUCAGUACAACUGCAAGUACAAUGGUACCUAAAUGAUGGCUGUACAGAAGGAUGCUAACAAACUCAAAGAGGUACAAUCCCACAAAGCCGUGAGGUUUUCACUCAUUUAACAGAGACUCAGAGGCUUAACUAGUUGGGUUCAAAGUUGUGCUUAAUAGUUCAGCAACAUCUCUUCCAGCAACACAGCUGAAAUUGUCUGCAGGAUGGGAUUAGAGCUGAAUUACUUGGAUAAGGCAUCCAUCUAAUGUAUGCAGGCACCUGUGGAUUGUUCCCAACCAGAUUCAUUUACCAACUGAAUUAUUAUUAAUACUUCGAAUUUUUUCUUUUUUCAUUUGAAAAGCAAGCUGGUUUUUUUCUCAGUGCCAAACCACUCACACAGAUGCUUCGAUGCCCCUGCAGCCCUCGGCUUGGAAGCUGGUCACAUCAGGAUGAAAUGGUCAAAGGUCCUGAAAGAUUGAGUGUAGGGGAGAGGAAGGACUCACUGUUGGACCAAGUAUCACAGAAGCUUAUUUGCUUAGCAUAAGAAACUCUGCUGCAAACAAGCUGUCCCCCUUUCAUUCUCAUUUCUCUCCAAUCUAUGACAUCUCUGUAAUAGUCUCCAGAAUAGAAAGAAUGAAAUGCAUCUUUGAAAGCAAAUUUCUGUAGCCACAGUAGUGCCAUGGGUCCAAGUGGUUCUCUGCAGU